GACGAACGCUGGCGGCGCGCUUAACACAUGCAAGUCGAACGGAAAGGCCUGCUUUCCCUUGUGGAUUGCGGGUACUCGAGUGGCGAACGGGUGAGUAACACGUGAGUGAUCUGCCCCCAACUUGGGUAUAAGCCUGGGAAACUGGGUCUAAUUCCCGAUAGGACUGCAGGGUGGUGCCUGUGGUGGAAAACGAUUUUCUAGUGGUUGGGGAUGAGCUCGCGGCCUAUCAGCUUGUUGGUGGGGUAAUGGCCUACCAAGGCGGCGACGGGUAGCCGGCCUGGGAGGGUGGACGGGCACAUUGGGACUGGGAUACGGCCCAGACUCCUACGGGAGGCAGCAGUGGGGAAUAUUGCACAAUGGGCGGAAGCCUGAUGCAGCGACGCCGCGUGGGGGAUGACGGCCUUCGGGUUGUAAACUCCUUUCGACCGCGAGGAAGCCACCUGGUUGGAAGGGUGGUGACGGUAGUGGUAGAAGAAGCACCGGCUAACUACGUG
rnacentral:rRNA from 1 species